GGCCUGGGGGGUGCCUAUACAUGCAGUCGAACGCGUUGGCCCAAUUGAUUGACGGUGCUUGCACCUGAUUGAUUUUGGUCGCCAACGAGUGGCGGACGGGUGAGUAACACGUAGGUAACCUGCCCAGAAGCGGGGGACAACAUUUGGAAACAGAUGCUAAUACCGCAUAACAGCGUUGUUCGCAUGAACAACGCUUAAAAGAUGGCUUCUCGCUAUCACUUCUGGAUGGACCUGCGGUGCAUUAGCUUGUUGGUGGGGUAACGGCCUACCAAGGCGAUGAUGCAUAGCCGAGUUGAGAGACUGAUCGGCCACAAUGGGACUGAGACACGGCCCAUACUCCUACGGGAGGCAGCAGUAGGGAAUCUUCCACAAUGGGCGCAAGCCUGAUGGAGCAACACCGCGUGAGUGAAGAAGGGUUUCGGCUCGUAAAGCUCUGUUGUUAAAGAAGAACACGUAUGAGAGUAACUGUUCAUACGUUGACGGUAUUUAACCAGAAAGUCACGGCUAACUACGUGCCAGCAGCCGCGGUAAUACGUAGGUGGCAAGCGUUAUCCGGAUUUAUUGGGCGUAAAGAGAGUGCAGGCGGUUUUCUAAGUCUGAUGUGAAAGCCUUCGGCUUAACCGGAGAAGUGCAUCGGAAACUGGAUAACUUGAGUGCAGAAGAGGGUAGUGGAACUCCAUGUGUAGCGGUGGAAUGCGUAGAUAUAUGGAAGAACACCAGUGGCGAAGGCGGCUACCUGGUCUGCAACUGACGCUGAGACUCGAAAGCAUGGGUAGCGAACAGGAUUAGAUACCCUGGUAGUCCAUGCCGUAAACGAUGAGUGCUAGGUGUUGGAGGGUUUCCGCCCUUCAGUGCCGGAGCUAACGCAUUAAGCACUCCGCCUGGGGAGUACGACCGCAAGGUUGAAACUCAAAGGAAUUGACGGGGGCCCGCACAAGCGGUGGAGCAUGUGGUUUAAUUCGAAGCUACGCGAAGAACCUUACCAGGUCUUGACAUCUUGCGCCAACCCUAGAGAUAGGGCGUUUCCUUCGGGAACGCAAUGACAGGUGGUGCAUGGUCGUCGUCAGCUCGUGUCGUGAGAUGUUGGGUUAAGUCCCGCAACGAGCGCAACCCUUGUUACUAGUUGCCAGCAUUAAGUUGGGCACUCUAGUGAGACUGCCGGUGACAAACCGGAGGAAGGUGGGGACGACGUCAGAUCAUCAUGCCCCUUAUGACCUGGGCUACACACGUGCUACAAUGGACGGUACAACGAGUCGCGAACUCGCGAGGGCAAGCAAAUCUCUUAAAACCGUUCUCAGUUCGGACUGCAGGCUGCAACUCGCCUGCACGAAGUUGGAAUCGCUAGUAAUCGCGGAUCAGCAUGCCGCGGUGAAUACGUUCCCGGGCCUUGUACACACCGCCCGUCACACCAUGAGAGUUUGUAACACCCAAAGUCGGUGGGGUAACCUUUUAGGAACCAGCCGCCUAAAGGGGACCAAU
rnacentral:rRNA from 1 species